CCCUACCUUGUAAGGUUAGCUUGCUAACUGCAAAAGUCUGAGGUCACAUGUUUUUCUUAAUUAUUGAUUUCUCAUUUUUUUGGAGUUGACAUGUUCAAGUAAGUUCUGUCCUCCUUGAUCUUUUACAUAAAAGUUGUUAGUUUUAAACAUUAUGUUAUAAUGGUUAAUAUAUUUCUUAUAUGAAACCAUUUGGUAGACAACCUUUUUGUGUCAUGCUCUGCAGUGAUAGGUAACAUCCAUUAUCAGGAAAUAUCUCACCCCUCUCUGCAGCAGUAGCUUCUGUUUGUAUGUCAGUUGCUGCAUUCUUGACGACUGCAUUUUGUGCGAUUCUUUUGGGGUACAAGCUGAGCAAAAGAAUUAUGUGCUAUGGAAAGCAAAGAAACUAAAAAAGUUGGGACGUGGGAGAAGGCCUUCAUUCAGUUGGUAGAGUGAAGUUGCACUUGCUGCUGAUUGAACAAGGAGGGCUUAGAGCACUCUUGGGCAUGGAAGAGAGUUGAAGCAGACGUAGUGUCGGAAUCAGUUUGGUCUCACAUGAAAUCAAACUCCCUUAGACGGUGUGAAGUUGCACUUGCUGCUGAUUGAACAAGGAGGGCUUAGAGCACUCUUGGGCAUGGUUAGAUCUGGAUAUAACGAUGUCAUCGCUCAGGUUUCCAAGGGAAUUGCAAAUUUCGCAAAAUGCGAAUCUUGAGCAAUAUCUCAAGGACACAAGAAAGGUCGUUCUCUUCGAAUGGAUGGCGUCCCUUCGUGGUUUCUUGCAAAGUCGAUUACUGCCUCAAUAUCAACCAGACGUCACAGCUUGCUCUUUGUCAUUAAGCACACAAUGAAUACUAUAUGAUGUACACUUGUGUUGGUCUUCGAGACCCCACUAAUAACAACGAGCUUGUGUUAUCACUCGGUAGCAGUUUACUUAGUACAUGGUUGAUUCAAGUACCUUGAUUAAACUCACACCAUAUAAAGUGGAAGGAAUCGUCCUGCAGCAACCAAUUCUUUCGUGGAAUUGAACAAAUCAUUAUCACAAAUACGAGGAGCUAUGCAGAUAUCUCAUAAUUUGUAUAACGCGGUAUUUGGAUGUUGUUGUUGCCGUUGCCUCUGCUGUCGCUGCCGCCGCCGCUGCUACUACAUGUUUGCUUUUUUACUUUCGCUAGUUAAACUUUAAUGAACAUAGAUGUAUGAAUAUUAAAAAUGUUUUCUGAUAGGAAUACAUAUGCCAUUGUCUGUAUAUAGUUACAAGUAAUCGUUGUCUUCUUUGCGUGCUAUUGAGAGUGAUUAUUCUUUGGUAUG
rnacentral:lncRNA from 1 species